AUCAAAACAAUGCUGUUCGCUUUACUGGCCACUGAACUGACUGUUAUGCUUCGGAGACGGGGAACCGGCAUAAUAAUAUUAUUUUAUCAGUGGACGCCCGCGACUCUGUUAGCGAUCUAAUUUUUCAAAUAAAUUUAUUAUUUAUAUAAUAAAUAAAUAUUUCACUAAUAAAAUAUGGAUCACAAUAAUAAAUCCGGCGCAAAGACCCAAAACACAACGCAGAUUGGAAACUACAAUCCAUGGAACUUAUUAUUCAAUUCAAGACGACGAACUGAAAGUGAAAAUAGCGCCAGUUCAAAUUCGAGUACCGACCAAACAAGUACACAGUUCGGGUCACUUCAGAGGCAGACUAGCAAAAAUAAUGAGGAAUAUCUGUGGAUGAUAUGGCGAUCUUAAACGUUUGCACAUCGGGAAUAAAUACCUAGCACUGGCUUCGAAUGGGUGUUAGAUUAUAGACAACAUGAACAUUUGGUCAAAAAGGGAGACGGUAUCUCGGGCAUGAUGGAGCAAGCAUUUCUGCCUACUUGGUUCCUGGUUGCGUGGCUGGGAACCUGCCUACUUUUCAGUCCCUUUGCAAUAUUCUUCGUAUUGUGCCUUCCCCAAUUCCCCCUUCUAGUCGUAAGAAGGCUCUGUUAUAUACCAUUCGAGUAUAUUUGACCCAGCCUUACCAUCGUAAUGCAAUAAUUAUUAUUUGUAUCGUAGUGUAUCUUCAUACUGUAUGUAUAAUGUGUAUAAAGUGUGUAAAUAAUUUUAAGUCUAAUUAAAUAAUGAAUAAAUAUUUGAGUAAU